CCCCGCGUUUUAUUUUCACUCCGGGAACUGGGGCUAAUCCCAGAUAGAUGAAGACCCCUGGAACGGGUCCUCGUCCAAAAGGCACCACGGUUAUGCUCCGGGGUGUCGCUCAAGGAUGGGGCCGCGUCCGAUCAGGCUGUUGGUGAGGUAAUGGCUCACCAAACCUAUAACCGGUACGGGCCGUGGGAGCGGGAGCCCGGAGAUGGGAACUGAGACAAGGUCCCAGGCCCUACGGGGCGCAGCAGUUACGAAAACUUGUCAAUGCACGAAAGUGUGAACGGGCUACCCCGAGUGCCGUCCGCUGAGGAUGGCUUUUCUCUGCUUUAAGAAGGCAGAGGAAUAAGGCGAGGGCAAGUCUGGUGUCAGCCGCCGCGGUAAUACCAGCUCGCCGAGUGGUAGGGAUGAUUAUUGGGCCUAAAGCGUCCGUAGCUGGCCUUUCAAGUCUCUUGUUAAAUCCAACGAUUCAAUCGCUGGACUGCAGGAGAUACUGCAAGGCUAGGAGGCGAGAGAAGCCGACGGUAUUUUCGGGGUAGGGGUAAAAUCCUAUAAUCCCGAGAAGACCACCAGUGGCGAAGGCGGUCGGCUAGCGCGCGCUCGACAGUGAGGGACGAAAGCUGGGGGAGCGAACCGGAUUAGAUACCCGGGUAGUCCCAGCUGUAAACGAUGCUGGCUAGGUGUUGAAGCGGCCACGAGCCGCUUCAGUGCCGCAGGAAAGCCAUUAAGCCAGCCGCCUGGGGAGUACGGCCGCAAGGCUGAAACUUAAAGGAAUUGGCGGGGGAGCAC
rnacentral:rRNA from 1 species